AUUGAACGCUGGCGGCAUGCUUUACACAUGCAAGUCGAACGGUAACAGGGUGCUUGCACCGCUGACGAGUGGCGAACGGGUGAGUAAUGCGUCGGAACGUGCCGAGUAGUGGGGGCUAACGCAGCGAAAGUUGUGCUAAUACCGCAUACGUACUGAGGUAGAAAGUGGGGGACCUUCGGGCCUCACGCUAUUCGAGCGGCCGACGUCUGAUUAGCUAGUAGGUUAGGUAAAUGCUAACCUAGGCGACGAUCAGUAGCGGGUCUGAGAGGAUGAUCCGCCACACUGGGACUGAGACACGGCCCAGACGCCUACGGGAGGCAGCAGUGGGGAAUUCUGGACAAUGGGCGAAAGCCUGAUCCAGCCAUGCCGCGUGUCUGAAGAAGGCCUUCGGGUUGUAAAGGACUUUUGUCGGGGAGGAAAUCCCCAGCGUUAAUACCGCUGGGGGAUGACAGUACCUGAAGAAUAAGCACCGGCUAACUUCGUGCCAGCCGCCGCGGUAAAAC
rnacentral:rRNA from 1 species